GGGUUGGGAGGGGGACUCUGUGGGGGACCAUAAGGAGCUGGACUCCGUACUGGGCAGGGGUGGGGCACUGGGCAGGGGCAGGGCUAUGCUGCCCGGGGCACACAGGCUCCUUCUCAGUGCCUGGCAGGAGCAAAGGCUUCCCAGUACUCCUGGGCCGUGGGUGUCCCAGCGCCCAUCCUCACUGGCCACACCACGUGCUGGCCCAGGCUGGCUAGCACAGUAAGAGAUGGAUACGACCCUUCGCCAUGCCCUGAGGAGUGGUGGUUUCCUGCUAAGACGCUCCUCAUGGCUAGGUGCUGGGCACAGGCCUUCCCUGGUGUGACCGUGAAUGUGGUCAUCCUGAGCAGCUGCCCUCCCUGGGGACAUCUGACUGUCAAGACCACAGUCAGCACCUCUGGGAGCCAGAGGGGAUCUCCAGAGACCCCCAGAUGUCAGGUUUGGGCUCAGUGCCCAGUGAAAGGUCAGCCCCACACAUACCCACAGUGGGCGCCAACCCAGAGUGACAGCUCCCAGCCUCCUGCCAGGCCCACCCUUUGCCACCCCCUUGAGGCACAGCACCCAGACCAGUGCAGCCCCUGCCCGAGCAUGGCCCCAGCGGGACAUGUGGCCAUGAGGGGCUGUGCACACAGCAAGAGGGUGUCCGCUCUGCUCAGGGCCUGCUGCCAGUGCCCCAGCUGUCUAGCCAAGGGAGGCGCAGAAGGGCCCCAGGUGUGAGCUGUAGCCAGGCGCCCAGCCGCUCUGCAGAGCCAGGGAAAGGAAGACACCCAAGUCAAUAAGGGGCAGGGCUGAGGGCUGUCCCAGGCUCUGUUGGCCCCAGGGGCUGCCAGCAGCCCUGACCCAGCAUGGGCCUUCCCGAAGAGUGACCCUGUGAGGUGGCCUCACAGAGAACCCCCUCCGAGGACAGUGUUUGAUCCUGCCUGCCUCACACAGAUGGGCCCCACAGCAGUGGAUGGCCUGUGGGGCAGCAGCCCCACCUGACCCUUCAGGCAUGCCCCCUGCAGCAGCAGCUGCUUCUCAGUCCCCCAACUUCCCUGUCCCCAACAGAUGGUCUCCCCUGAAGCUGCAGCCCCAGCCCAUGGCUGCCCACCAGGGGCCGGGACUCCCUGUCCACUGCCCCCUCCCCUUCGGGGCACCAUCUGUGCUGGGGCCCAGGUUCAGCCUACAGAUUCCCAUCAUUGCCAUGGCCUCCUGACCUUGCCUGUCCACCCCCCACUAUGGGCUCCACGCUGACCCUCCCCCAGGCUCCCACGCCCAGCUGUCCAGUCAUCUCCAGGCACAGUCUGAGAUCUCACAGAUUUAACAGACCGUGGCCCCGUGAAAUGAUCCCUGGAACAGAUCCGUCCACACCCGCCACUCAGCAGCCCUGGCUGAGCUCACAGUACAACCACAAUAAACGCUUGUUGAAUGAACACUA